rnacentral:tRNA from 1 species
GGCCUUCGUGCGCGACGGGCUCACCGGCGCUCUCUCGUGGCGAUGAUCACCUGAUAAGGAAGAGGCCACAGGUUCAAGUCCUGUUAGGCCCACC